UNUGACUUGAGUGCAGAAGGGGAGAGUGGAAUUCCAUGUGUAGCGGUGAAAUGCGUAGAUAUAUGGAGGANCACCAGUGGCGAAAGCGGCUCUCUGGUCUGUCACUGACGCUGAGGCUCGAAAGCGUGGGUAGCGAACAGGAUUAGAUACCCUGGUAGUNCACGCCGUAAACGAUGAGUGCUAGGUGUUAGGCCCNUUCCGGGGCUUAGUGCCGGAGCUAACGCAAUAAGCACUCCGCCUGGGGAGUACGACCGCAAGGUUGAAACUCAAAGGAAUUGACGGGGGCCCGCACAAGCGGUGGAGCAUGUGGUUUAAUUCGAAGCAACGCGAAGAACCUUACCAGGUCUUGACAUCCCGAUGCUAUUCUUAGAGAUAGGAAGUUACUUCGGUACAUCGGAGACAGGUGGUGCAUGGUUGUCGUCAGCUCGUGUCGUGAGAUGUUGGGUUAAGUCCCGCAACGAGCGCAACCCUUAUUGUUAGUUGCCAUCAUUAAGUUGGGCACUCUAGCGAGACUGCCGGUAAUAAACCGGAGGAAGGUGGGGAUGACGUCAAAUCAUCAUGCCCCUUAUGACCUGGGCUACACACGUGCUACAAUGGUCGGUACAAUGAGUUGCGAGCCGGUGACGGCAAGCUAAUCUCUGAAAGCCGAUCUCAGUUCGGAUUGGAGGCUGCAACUCGCCUCCAUGAAGUCGGAAUCGCUAGUAAUCGCGGAUCAGCACGCCGCGGUGAAUACGUUCCCGGGCCUUGUACACGCCGCCCGUCACACCACGAGAGUUUGUAACACCCGAAGUCGGUGAGGUAACCUUU
rnacentral:rRNA from 1 species